GUCCUCGGCACCCUGGCCCGGCGGGAACAAACUGCCGCGGUGGCGGGAGCUAGGCUCGUGUGGCUGGAGGCGGGUCAUCCUUCUCUUCGCAGCUCCCGCAAACCCAUGGUUCCCUGGAGCCACAGCCUCCAGUGCUCUCAGCCUCUGAGAGUCAAGGCUUUCGUUGGCGCAGCUGCAGCCGGUGGCAAUGGCUACAAACCUCCUCCCCUCGUCUCCCUAAGGCGGAGCCCAGGCCACCCGGGCCGAAGCGCCCACGGAUCGCGAGUGAGCAGAAACGCCCAGACAGACGCCGCGGGACAGGGACCUACAAGAGUCCCAGGGGUUUCCGGCAAGCUGGAGAGGAGAGUGAUCCGGGGGAGCAAACUUGGCGCCGGCAACUCAGAGAGGUCCCUACAGAGAAGUCACCCUUCAAUGGAUCCGAGACAGGAGAGCUCUCCCCAGAUUGCAUGGAUAUAAUUAAGUCCGUGACAAAACUGCUAAAGUACUGAGCUGCUGACAGGGAAGUUGGUCGGGACAGAAGGGCAGAACAUUGCCUGCAGCCUUAGGGUUUGGAGCUCUGAGAGUAUCCUGGCCCGUCCCGGCCACUUCUAGACUGUAGAAAGAGCCUGGAGCCGAACAGGGCAUACCAUGUCCACUGACUUCUAAAAAAAAUUUAUUUACCAACCAACCAACCUUGGGGAAACGCUAGCUAGCCUCAUCCUCAUCUCUAAAAG
rnacentral:lncRNA from 1 species